rnacentral:rRNA from 1 species
UUCGCAAUGCCCGAAAGGGUGACAAUGCGACGCCGCGUGAGCGAUGAAGGCUUUAGGGUUGUAAAGCUCUGUCAGCAGGGAUGAAAUACAUACGGGUCAAUACCCCGUAUGUUUGACGGUACCUGCAAAGGAAGCCCCGGCUAACUCCGUGCCAGCAGCCGCGGUAAUACAGAGGUGGCGAGCGUUGUUCGGUAUUAUUGGGCGUAAAGAGCACGUAGGUGGUUUUGUAAGUCAGGUGUGAAAGCCUUCUGUUCAAAGGAAGAACGGCAUCUGAAACUGCAGAUCUUGAGUGUAGGAGGGGAGAGUGGAACUUCUGGUGGAGCGGUGAAAUGCGUAGAUAUCUGGAGGAACACCUGUGGCGAAAGCGGCUCACUGGACCGUCUCUGACGCUGAGUGUGCGAAAGCUAGGGUAGCGAACGGGAUUAGAUACCCCGGUAGUCCUAGCCCUAAACGAUGGGCACUAAGUAGAGGGGUUUU